UUGCAUAUAAGUUAGAUAUGC
rnacentral:siRNA from 1 species